AGAUCGAACUGUAGAGUUUGAUCCUGGCUCAGAUUGAACGCUGGCGGCAUGCCUUACACAUGCAAGUCGAACGGUAACAGGUCUUCGGAUGCUGACGAGUGGCGAACGGGUGA
rnacentral:rRNA from 1 species